rnacentral:rRNA from 2 species
AGAAGUGAGAAUGCCGGUGUGAGUAGCGAAAGACGGGUGAGAAUCCCGUCCACCGAUUGACUAAGGUUUCCAGAGGAAGGCUCGUCCGCUCUGGGUUAGUCGGGUCCUAAGCUGAGGCCGACAGGCGUAGGCGAUGGAUAACAGGUUGAUAUUCCUGUACCACCUAUAAUCGUUUUAAUCGAUGGGGGGACGCAGUAGGAUAGGCGAAGCGUGCGAUUGGAUUGCACGUCUAAGCAGUAAGGCUGAGUAUUAGGCAAAUCCGGUACUCGUUAAGGCUGAGCUGUGAUGGGGAGAAGACAUUGUGUCUUCGAGUCGUUGAUUUCACACUGCCGAGAAAAGCCUCUAGAUAGAAAAUAGGUGCCCGUACCGCAAACCGACACAGGUAGUCAAGAUGAGAAUUCUAAGGUGAGCGAGCGAACUCUCGUUAAGGAACUCGGCAAAAUGACCCCGUAACUUCGGGAGAAGGGGUGCUCUUUAGGGUUAACGCCCAGAAGAGCCGCAGUGAAUAGGCCCAAGCGACUGUUUAUCAAAAACACAGGUCUCUGCUAAACCGUAAGGUGAUGUAUAGGGGCUGACGCCUGCCCGGUGCUGGAAGGUUAAGAGGAGUGGUUAGCUUCUGCGAAGCUACGAAUCGAAGCCCCAGUAAACGGCGGCCGUAACUAUAACGGUCCUAAGGUAGCGAAAUUCCUUGUCGGGUAAGUUCCGACCCGCACGAAAGGCGUAACGAUUUGGGCACUGUCUCAACGAGAGACUCGGUGAAAUCAUAGUACCUGUGAAGAUGCAGGUUACCCGCGACAGGACGGAAAGACCCCGUGGAGCUUUACUGUAGCCUGAUAUUGAAAUUCGGCACAGCUUGUACAGGAUAGGUAGGAGCCUUUGAAACGUGAGCGCUAGCUUACGUGGAGGCGCUGGUGGGAUACUACCCUAGCUGUGUUGGCUUUCUAACCCGCACCACUUAUCGUGGUGGGAGACAGUGUCAGGCGGGCAGUUUGACUGGGGCGGUCGCCUCCUAAAAGGUAACGGAGGCGCUCAAAGGUUCCCUCAGAAUGGUUGGAAAUCAUUCAUAGAGUGUAAAGGCAUAAGGGAGCUUGACUGCGAGACCUACAAGUCGAGCAGGGUCGAAAGACGGACUUAGUGAUCCGGUGGUUCCGCAUGGAAGGGCCAUCGCUCAACGGAUAAAAGCUACCCCGGGGAUAACAGGCUUAUCUCCCCCAAGAGUUCACAUCGACGGGGAGGUUUGGCACCUCGAUGUCGGCUCAUCGCAUCCUGGGGCUGUAGUCGGUCCCAAGGGUUGGGCUGUUCGCCCAUUAAAGCGGUACGCGAGCUGGGUUCAGAACGUCGUGAGACAGUUCGGUCCCUAUCCGUCGUGGGCGUAGGAAAUUUGAGAGGAGCUGUCCUUAGUACGAGAGGACCGGGAUGGACAUACCUCUGGUGUACCAGUUGUCGUGCCAACGGCAUAGCUGGGUAGCUAUGUGUGGACGGGAUAAGUGCUGAAAGCAUCUAAGCAUGAAGCCCCCCUCAAGAUGAGAUUUCCCAACUUCGGUUAUAAGAUCCCUCAAAGAUGAUGAGGUUAAUAGGUUCGAGGUGGAAGCAUGGUGACAUGUGGAGCUGACGAAUACUAAUCGAUCGAAGACUUAAUCAA